rnacentral:lncRNA from 1 species
GUUGUUUACCUUUCCAUCCCUACUUACUAAUGACUCAGAUUAUGCCCUUGCAUUGUAGUUAUACCUUUUCUGUAUUAAGCUCAGUCGGUCGAUGAUGCCUACUGAGUACCCGUGGUUUUUGGUACUCAUACUACACUUCUGCAUCUUUUUCCUGAUGCAGAUCCAGGUACUAGCAAUCGACAUUGACGUGGUUCCUACCUUUCAAUGUUGGUUUAGAGCGGGGUGAGCUUACUGUCGUAGGGUAGGGUAGAGUAGCAGCCCCUAUCCGAGAUCAAGCCAAAAAUCCAUCACUCGAUACCGUUAUAGCUUCGGGGAUUGAGAGAACUCCAGGUAUUCUACCACAUCAGCAGGUAGGCCAGGGGGCAACCCAGGCUCCACCCGGCUUUAUAUCUUCUUCGGUUAUUCGGGAUACAUUAGUUCAAUUAUUGGGGUUAGUUGGAGGUCCACCGAUCGUGGGAGCUCAGCCAGCAGCAUAGGGUGGUGUAGAUUUAGGGGCACAACUUGCGGUAGCAGUGCUGAGGGUAGAGGUUUUACCAGCACCAGUAGUUCCACAGCCGGCAAUAGCCCAGCCACUUAUGUCUACAGAGGAGCAGAAGAUGUUGGGUCGAUUUUUGAGAUUGACUCCACCCAGGUUUGCUGGGACCCCAAGAGAGGAUGCUUAUGAGUUCCUAUCCAGUUGCGAGCAACGGUUGCCGAAUUUGGGGCUGCUUGAGGCACGAGGAGUAGACUUUGUUUCUUAUCAGUUCAACACAGCAGUAAGGAGGUGGUGGACAGAUUAUCUUGAUUCCAGGCCAGCUGGAUCUCCACCAGUGACUUGGACUCAGUUUUCCGAGGCUUUCUUGGGGAAGUAUAUGCCUCGUAGCGUGUGUGAGCAUCUUCGAGAUGAGUUUACCGCAUUGAGGCAGGGCUCCAUGACUGUGGCGGAGUAUGAGGCGAGGUUUUAUGAGUUAGCCCGACAUGCCACUAUGAUUCUGGAUAUAGAGUAGGAGCGGAUUCGAUGCUUUGUUAGGGGAUUAAGAUUAUCACUCCGUAGGGCUACUCAGAGUUUGGUGACUUCAGGGAAGUCUUUUUCAAAGAUAGCUGUCCAUGUUUAUUCCAUAGAGGAGAUGGAUGAUGAGGCCCAAGGGGGCAGCGAUAAGAGAUCAUGCUACCAGGGUAGUUACAGUGGUUCACAGUCCUCAGGCCAAGGAUUUCACGGUUGGUACCCUCAUCAGCAGCUUUCUCAGUAUCAGGGUCAGCCUAUUAGGCCAAUUCAGGCAUUGCUUCAGAUAUCCGAUAGGGGUCAUCCCGUCUAUUGUAGUUCCAGUGGUCAGAGUAGCAGCCAGCUGUAGAGGGUUGUUCAGUUGGGAUCGUCGAGUAAGGGUGGCCAUCCUGGAUUCAUUGGACCUACUAGUCAGAGCAGGGUGCCUGGGGUAUGUUAUGAUUGCGGAGUUAUUGGUCACUUCACCCGUGAGUGUCCUCGGCGUAGGAUGAUUGAACCUCCAGUUCUGGCUGUGCAGUCGAUCAGAUCAGUGCCACCGUUAGGUAAGGGUGGUGUACAGGGUCGUAGAGGUAGUUCCUAGGGUUCUAGAGGUAGUCCACAGGGAGGUAGGGCAGGCGGUUAGGCAAGUACCCAGUCUAGUAGUGGACAGGGUAAUUUGUAUGCUGUUCCAGGUAGAUCAGGGGCUGAGGCUUCAGAUACUGUGAUAACAGGUACGAUUUUCGUGUUCUAUCAGCCAGCUUCUGCUUUGUUUGAUCUCGGUUCCACUUUUUCAUAUAUUUCUACUUAUUUUACAUCGCGCCUGGGUUUAUAUUCGGAGUCUUUAUCUGUGCCGUUACUUGUGGCUACCCCAGUGAGUGACUCUUUAGUAGUGGAUCGGGUAUAUAGAUCUUGUUUGGUCACUAUUCGGGAGUUUGAUACUCAUAUUGACCUUAUUGUCCUAGAUAUAGUUGAUUUUGAUAUGAUUCUAGGCAUGGAUUGGUUGUCUCCUUACCAUGUGGUCUUGGAUUGUUUUGCUAAGACCGUUACUUUAGCUUUGCUUGGCAUACCCCCAGUUGUGUGGCAGGGUUCUGUUAGCCAUGCACCAAUGGGGAUUAUUUCGUACAUCCAAGCUAGGAGACUGAUAUCGAGGGGUUGUGAGUCUUUUCUUGCAUAUAUCCGGGAUGUUAGUGUUGAGAGUUCCCCACUUGACUCCGUCCCUAUUAUUCACGAGUUUUCUGAUGUAUUUCUAACCGACCUACCUGGCCUUCCUCCUGAGCAUGAUGUAGAGUUUAUUAUUGACCUCGAGCCUGGAACCUGACCUAUUUCUAUAGCUCUGUAUCGUAUGGCUCCCGCUGAGCUGAAGGAGCUGAAUAGUCAGCUUCAAGAUCUUCUGAGUAAGGGAUUUAUCAGAUCGAGUGCAUCUUCUUGAGGUGCUCCAGUUUUGUUUGUGAAGAAGAAAGAUGGCUCCUUGCGUAUGUGUAUCGACUACAGGCAGUUAAAUAAGGUUACUGUGAAGAAUAAGUAUCCUAUGCCUCGCAUCGAUGAUUUGUUUGAUCAGCUUCAGGGUGCAGCAGUGUUUUCUAAGCUUGAUUUGAGGUCCGGUUACCAUCAGUUGAGAGUUAGAGCUGCGGACAUCCCUAAGACAGCCUUCAGGACUCCUUAUGGUCAUUAUGAGUUCCUGAUGAUGUCUUUUAGGUUGACCAAUGCUCCAGCAGCUUUUAUGGAUCUGAUGAAUUGCGUGUUCAGGCCAUAUUUGGACUCCUUCGUGAUAGUAUUUAUUGAUGACAUUCUGGUAUAUUCAAGGAGUAAGGAGGAGCACGAGCAACAUUUGAGGACUAUACUUCGCACUUUGAGAGACCACAGGCUUUAUGCCAAGUUCUCAAAAUGUGAGUUUUGGCUUGAGUCUGUAGCUUUCUUGGGGCAUAUAGUGUCCAAGGACGGUAUUAUGGUGGACCCAGCCAAGAUUGAGCUAUUCGUAGUUGGGCUAAGCUUACGCCACCUUCUAAGGUUCGCAGCUUUAUUGGGUUGGCAGGUUACUACAGGCGGUUCAUUGAGGGGUUUUCUUCUAUUGCAGCCCCUAUGACUAGAUUGACCAUGAAGGAGGUUCCGUUUCAUUGGUCUGCGAGUUGUGAGGCGAGCUUUAUGAAGCUCAAGGAUUUUCUUACUUCAGCUCCUAUUCUGACUCUUCCUGUUGAGGGCGAGGGUUUUACUGUCUAUUGAGAUGCAUCUGGUGUUGGUUUGGGGUGUGUUCUGAUGCAGCGUGGCCGUGUUAUUGCAUAUGCAUUGAGGCAGCUGAAGGUGCAUAAGCGCAACUACCCCUCCCAUGAAUUAGAGUUGGCAACGGUAGUAUUUGAGCUUAGGAUUUGGAGGCAUUAUUUGUAUGGGGUCCGCUGUGAGAUAUUUACUGAUCACCGCUGUCUUCAGUAUAUUAUGACCCAGAAGGAGCUUAAUUUGAGGCAGCGCAGGUGGAUUGAGUUGCUGAAAGACUAUGAUAUCUCUAUUCUCUACCAUCCGGGUAAGGCGAAUAUGGUAGCGGAUGCCUUGAGUCGAAAGUCAGUAAGUAUGGGUAGCUUAGCUUUUAUUUUAGCUUCUCAGCGGCCGUUGGCUUUGGACAUUCAAUCCUUAGCUAACAUGAUGGUUCGUUUGGAUAUUUCUGACCCUCAGAGAAUCAUUGCUAGUGUUGAGGCCAGAUCCACCUUGUUGGAGCAGAUUCGGAGUCGUCAAUUAGAGGAUGACAGGCUUCGCAUCCUUCGAGAACAGGUGUUGAGGGGUGAGUCUCAGCGGGCUACCCUAGAUUCUGAGGGUGUCUUGAGGUUUGACGGUCGUAUUUGUGUUCCAAGGAUUGGAGAUUUGAUCUAGUUGAUUCUUCGUGAGGCUCAUAUCUCUAGAUACUCUAUUCAUCCCGGUACAGCUAAGAUGUAUAGAGAUUUGAGGCAGUAUUACUGGUGGAGUGGUAUGCGGAGAGAUAUAGCAGGGUUUGUAGCUCAAUGUCUUUAUUGUCAGCAGGUAAAGUUCGAGCAUCAGAGUCCUGGUGGAUUGUUGCAGCAGCUACCCAUUCCCGAGUGGAAAUGGGAGCGAAUUACUAUGGAUUUUGUAGGUGGAUUGCCUCGUACAUCGUGUGGUUUUGAUAGCAUUUGGGUCAUCGUGGAUCGAUUGACCAAGUUUGCACAUUUUGACUAUUAUGAUUACUAUGAGAUCCGGUUCGAGUCCGGCAAUUGACUAUUAUUGUUACUAUGAGCUCCGGUUCGAGUCCGGCAUCUGAUUAUAGUUGGGGUUACUCUGAGUUCCGGUUCGAGUUCGGCAUCUGAUUAUUUAUGUUUACUUUCACCACUUGUGUGUCCCACCGGCUUAUGGGGGUAGGGUUGGGUUAAUUGUCUUCUUCAGUGUGCCUAGCGGGCUUAUGGGGGCUCAGUUAGGUUAUGUUUGAUUUAUUUGUAAUUAUGUUAUCUUGCAUUUUAUCAUAUUUAUAUCCUGAUUUAGAUUAGUCAGUCGAUGAUGCCUACUGAGUACCCGAGGUUUUUGGUACUCAUACUACACUUCUGCAUCUUUUUCCUGAUGCAGAUCCAGGUACUAGCAAUCGGCAUUGACGUGGUUCCUACCUUUCAGUGCUAGUUUAGAGCGGGGUGAGCUUACUGUCGUCCGAGGCUGAUCCUCCUCUAUCUACUCUAGUUAGUCUUUUUCACUCGAGACUACUUGUGUACAUUUUAGAUUUUUGUCUAGUACUCUGGGUACCUGUUAGUAGUGGCUCUAGUACUGACCUUAUCAGGUCUUGGGAGGGAUUCAUUUGUAUAGUUGACCCUUUUUUCUCCUCUCGUUUUGAUAUAAUACAUAUGCUUUCUUCUUAGUUUUCACUUAUUAUUGUGGUUGUUAUUAUCAUACGCGAUCUUUUAUUUUGUCCAUGCCUAUUAGCCCGUUACUUAUCAUUCCGAGCUUUGGAUUGACUUGCCUACUGGUGGGAUAAGGUAGGCGCCAUCACGACUUAAGAAAUCGGGUCGUGACACUUUUGCAGACCUAACGAUUGUAAUAGUCUUCUCCAUCACUUCAAGAUGUGAAGUUUGAAGACUUCUUGCUCUUUUUCUCCCUCUCUUUUCAUUUUUAAAUUUUGAAUUUUUAGCUUCUUGAAAAAGCUGUUGGAGCUGCGUUUUUCCUAUAAAUACACCUCCCUAUUCAUUCAUUGAGGGGGAAAAGGGUUAGAAAAUUGAGGAAUUUUGAGUUUCAUACUGUUUCAAUCCCUAGAUUUUAUUGUUCUAUUUCAUAGUUUUUCAAUUAUCGUUCCUCCCAACUCUCGUUACUUUUCAUCGCUCGUACUCAAAGUUGGUGGAAAAUCGUUCAUCGACUCGGGGGGUUAAAAGGUUUACUACACGAAACAAGUUUGAAUUGAAUCUCUGAAGAAAAUCCCUAGUUCACUGCCCCAAGCAAGGUAAAUUCUAUCCCGUCUAAUCUUAUUAUAUUUAUCUUUUGAUAAUUCACUGAUCAUUUGAGUCUAUGAUUUCCAUUUGGCCUAUCAUAAACAUAAACCUAAGAUGAAAUAGUGUCUGGCUAUCCGAUUUUGCUCAUCAUCUAAUGUUUAUGGAAUAUCUUAGUUCGUGAUUCAGUUUGAAUAUAUUGAAAAUCAGAAGUCUCGAUUAAAGUAGAUUGCUCUAUCUUGGUUGGCUGCGAAUACACAUUCGAAGCAGUUACGUAUUGUGUGGUUGGUCGGGUUGUUAACUGUUGGUUUUGAAGAUGAAAAAUGUGAAACAAUAAUCUGUUUUGGCUUUCUGAUUCACUCCAGUUGGUUGGCUGGGAAUGCAUAUUUGAAGCAGUUAUGUAUCGUGUAGUUAGUCGGAUUGUAAACUGUUAGUUUUGAAGAUGAAAAACUUGAAACAAUAAUCUAUUUUGGCUUUCUGAUUCACUCAACUUGGAAACUUUUGCCUUUAAAUGUGCAAUAAUGUGUAGAUUACAGUAAACAAUUUGGUUUGGAAAGGUUAUGUCUGGUCGAAAAUGUAGAGCUAUGUUGAAUCAUUAUGUAGGCUCCAUUCUUAUCUCGUCUCUAUCACUUCCCAUCCUGUGUGCUCUUGUUGUGAAUACAUGAUUUUUCUUGGCUUCAAACUAUACUGAUUUUGCUAUCUGUUUUUGGUAAAUUGAGUAAGAAUAUGGCUUUGCCUUGAUUGUCCUUUGUUUCAAUAUAUAGUCGCUUUGCGUCUAAAUGUACGAAUAUGUAAAACUCUUCCUAUCUCCAUUGUUUCUGUUUUCCCUUUUAAUUACUACUAUUUGAAGGACUGAAACCACGCCGCUUGUCAAAUCUCUGCUUUCCAUAUGUCCGACGUAUUUCUUGCUUCCCUUGGUUGGAUCAAGAACAUGUGGAAGUGCUCAACUCUCUUUGAAUUCAUUAUCAUGUGAGGCUGUUUUCUGUAAUACCUGUGAUUAUAUACGAUUCCAAGAUGUCGAUGAAGUAUGCUUGAAUAUAAAGAACUAAGCUUAGAUAUGAAGUUUCAUUUUUUUUCCGGAAAUCUUAAAUCUACAAGUGUUACUGUCAUCUCGUUUCUUCCUGAAUAUGGUAUCUUGCAUUGAUAAGUUGUGAUAUGUGUUGUUUCCUAACAGGUUCUUUAAAUAAUAAAUGAUUUGACAUAAGUUAUAACCAGCAAAUGUAGACUAGGACCAAAAUUGAAAUCUUAUUUAUCCAUUAUUUUUAUUGAUGUUAGGACGUUUGUGAAUUUAUUAGCCUGUUAGCCACAUAAACUAAGGUUUGAACCCAUCCUUGUGCAUAUUUGCUUAAGUUCCCCUUAAAUGGUUAAGGUUUAGCGCAGGUCAUUUGGAAUGUAGACAACCCAUGUUUUGCUUUGAAAAUUUUUGGAACUCUACUCUAAUUUUGUGGCAGUAGCCCUUUCGUAGAUGUACAUAACGUAUUAGCUUGCUGUGUAGCUGGUUUAUGUUAAUGAAUAAUGAACAUCUCAAGGAUCACUUUUCUUUUACAUUGUUCCAGUAACCAAAUGUUAUGGAGUUGGAUUUUUAUUUGGCUAGUCAAAAACCUAAAGCAAAGAAUAGUCUCCUGGUAAUUUAGAUUAGAUAAAGCUGAGGAAUAUUGGUAGAGUAACUGAACGUUUAAAGUUCAUUGUGACGUUGGUUUGAGUACCUUGAACAUGGAAAUAGCUUCUUAUUUUUCCUAUGCUCGUCCGUAUGGUUACAAGUCCUCGGCAACCAUUAAAUAGGCAUGAAAACUGUUUUUUUUUUCAGAAAAUAUAAUAAACAACAUGUCAACAUAUUUCAAGCAAAACUUAUGUGUUAAAGUUUGGACGUAAAAAUUUUCUUGUGUGAUAUGUACAGAUUCAUUUGUGUGUCCAUAAGCUCAGCAUUUUUCUGUGAAAUUUGAAAUCUGUUAAAAUGACGCUGAAACUUACAAUCUAUUUCAUUUUUUUCUUCUCUUUUUUUGUGAAAGGGAUUGAGCUCGUAGAACUUUUGAUACUUCAUCUCUUCCUUUGCUCUCGGUUGUGUAUUCCGUCUAAGUUCAGUAUAAAAAGGCGUUGGCCUGGUCAUGAAUGAUUUCGCUCUUAAAUCGGUCAUCUGAUUUCGUUUCCCUGUUUGUUGGCAUUUUCUGUUUUCUCAAGGCUCUUGCUUAUUUUUGUGUUUAAGAUUCUUAACUUAUUCUUCAUAUUUUGACAUUUGGGACGUCAAAUUUCACUGUUAUAAUAAGUUUUAAACUAGAUGAAUAUGUUAGGAUCAAGCUACUGUAUCGUUGAAGGUGAUAAAAGAAAUUUUUGUUUUUGUGUAUUUGGAUCUACUUGGUAUGGUUUGUAGCUUUUCUUUGCGCAUUUAGUGUUCAUAGGUCCCUCUUAUGUCCUGGCAUCUCCUACUCACUUAUUUUUAUUCAUAAGUUUUAGUUUUUGAAAACAAAUCGUCUUUACUAAUGUGUGUUUUUCUCUUAUUAAGUUGAUUUUAUCUUUCUAUUUUUAGCUACUUAAUUGGCUACUAAUCCUUAUCCCUUUUUCUUUGUCUCAUGUGAACUCGAGAGCGCAUUUGGGGUCUCACGGCUUGACUCCAUCUCUGUUCAAAUCAGAGAAGCGACAUAACAAUGCAUUACGUAUUUUGUCUAGCAGUCUAGUGCCUCUUCCCUCUUUCGAGCUUUAUUUUUCUCUGAAGACACUCAUUAUUAUUCUCAUUUAAACAUUUUUUCACAUUAUUAUUCUAAAUUUUGUGUUUUUGUCAGCUUUUAUUUGAACUAGUAUAAAUCGU